UACGAAGGGUGCAAGCGUUAAUCGGAAUUACUGGGCGUAAAGCGUGCGUAGGCGGUUUGUUAAGUCUGUUGUGAAAUCCCCGGGCUUAACCUGGGAACUGCAUCCGAGACUGCAUAGCUAGAGUAUGGGAGAGGGAAGUGGAAUUUCAGGUGUAGCGGUGAAAUGCGUAGAUAUCUGAAGGAACAUCAGUGGCGAAAGCGACUUCCUGGACCAAUACUGACGCUCAUGUGCGAAAGCGUGGGGAGCAAACAGG
rnacentral:rRNA from 1 species